CAAACAAUAGAGACUUGGGUGUAGAUU
rnacentral:guide_RNA from 1 species